AUUGAACGCUGGCGGCAGGCUUAACACAUGCAAGUCGAACGAGUGGCGGACGGGUGAGUAAUGCUUGGGAAUCUAGCUUAUGGAGGGGGAUAACUACGGGAAACUGUAGCUAAUACCGCGUACCAUAGGAUGAGCCAAAUGGGGGAUAGGUAGUUGGUGAGGUAAAGGCUCACCAAGCCGACGAUCUCUAGCUGGUCUGAGAGGAUGACCAGCACCACUGGGACUGAGACACGGUCCAGACUCCGACGGGAGGCAGCAGUGGGGAAUAUUGCGCAAUGGGGGCAACCUGACGCAGCAAUGCCGCGUGAAUGAAGAAGGCCUUCGGGUUGUAAAGUUCUUUCGGUAGCGAGGCGUUAACUACAGAAGAAGCACCGGCUAACUCCGUGCCAGCAGCCGCGGUAAUUC
rnacentral:rRNA from 1 species